CGCAACUUAAUGUAAAAUACCUGAAGAGAUAAAUACAGAUGAAUUUCAGAAUUCAAAACAAAAUGUACCAUAAAACUUCAGCAACAGAUUUCUUAAUCUAAUUUCAUCACUAAGAUACGCUCAAUUCUCGGAGAUAUUUUCAGGCUCUCCUUGUGUCGGAGAAUGGAUUGAUGAUGAUGGCGAUGGGUUUUUAGGAACAAGUCGUAUUUGCUCCAACAUAAGUCGUCUUUUACAAAGAACAAGGCCAUCACGAGAAAGUUCAGAAUCAUUCACCGAAGGAACGACAAUAUCUGUUCCAAUCGGCUGGUGCCAGGUACCUCUGAAAAACAUUCCUCCGAUUCUGACAAUAGGGUGCGGUUGGUCGAUUCCUAAAAUCGAAAAGUCAUCGGAAGAUUGAAAGUCCAAAGAUGAAUUUUGGAAUUGGAAUACAAUAUUUUCAACGUCAUCAACGUCAGUUUCAAGACUUGGCGAAUUGCUCGACAUAAUCCCUAGCAAUUUUGUCAAACGAAGGGCGAUCGUUUCGAUAUUGUUCAGCGAUGGAAGCUACAAGAGGAUCGUCAGGAUUAGGUUCCCUAAGAAGUUGCAAAAUU